CAAUAGCGUAUAUUAAAGUUGUUGCGGUUAAAAGCUCGUAGUUGGAUUUCUGUUGAGGUCGACCGGUGCGCACUCCGUGUGUUAUUUGGUUCGGUCUCGGCAUCCUCGUGGGGAGACGUUUCUGGACUUUAUUGGACAGGGCGAGAUUCACGACUUUUACUUUGAGGAAAUUAGAGUGUUCACGGCAGGCAAGUGCUUUGAAUACAUUAGCAUGGAAUAAUAAUAUAGGACCUUCGUUCUAUUUUGUUGGUUUCUAGUAACUUAGGGUAAUGAUUAAUAGGGACAAUUGGGGCGAUUCGUAUUAACGCGUCAGAGGUGGAAUUCUUGGAUUGCGUUACGACGAACUACUGCGAAAGCAUUUGCCAAAGAUGUUUUCAUUGAUCAAGAACGAAAGUA
rnacentral:rRNA from 1 species